AGUAAAAUAGAACAAAUUAAUUUCAGAAUUUUAUGUCUUUAAAAAAAAAUUGCAUUACUGUGAUCCAACCUACAGGUAUAUAAAAUAUUCUACAACCUGAAUUUUAAAUGAAAUACAGAAACUUGAGAACAAUGAUAGACUACGGAAAAACUGGAAGGUUUCGGUUUUUUUUUUUCCCAGUAAGGAACUAAUGACAAGAUAAAACAAAACCCAAGAGAACAACUGAAACAAGUAGCUGGAUAAUAAAUCCUUCAUGAAACAAGGUUAACCUCACUCCUCCACUUCAGAAGUGGCCAGUUAUCUAAGUAUGAAGAAACACAACAUAUUUCAAGCUAUGGGGAAGAUAAGACACAGCAAUUUUCAAAAUUGACUUUGGAGUGCAGACAGCAUAGAAAGAAAUGCAACAUUUAUUUGUUACAGAUAGUAACUAUAAUUGCCAUUUCAACUACUCCUGCUUAGGAAUGUUACACCUGUUGCACCCAUCAGGCAAUGAUUCUUUUCCAAAUUUCAAGACUCUUUAGUGUUACACACCCCUCAGAAAGGUGCUCCCUUAGCACUGAAGACUCGGGAAUUGUUUGAUUCAAUGCUAUUCUCCUCCUAGCUAUAGAGGCCCUUGCAGAACGUGGCCAGGUGAGAUUAAUUUCUGGAAUCACCUAAAAUUGCUAUCAUGAAUGGUUAUAGCUAGAGAGGGAAGAGCAUGUCUGAAUGAAGCCAGUGCUUAUUUUUUCAGUACUUGUCAUAUACUUUACCACCUUGACCAGGCUGUAAAAACUUCUCUUCCCCAGGCUGAGACACAACAAUGUACUGAGGAACUGAGGUCCUUCAGCUCAACAGCUGCCACUGAAGCGUCUCCCUAAGAUAGCAGAAACAUCACUUUUUCCUGAAAUAUUUCCUCCUGCUUUCAAGAUUUGUUGGCAAAAGCCAAGGGCUUCACAUUCCCCAAUAAUCUAAGAACAAGUGAAGACAUUGGAGUCACCUAUUUUAAUAAAGUGCAGCAUGCAUGAAGCAGCACAGUCGUCAGCAAAGGGAAAAGAACCACAUCAACAGAAAAUAAGUAAAAUGUUUAUCGGACUGCUGCCUUUGAAAUCAAACAAGUAGAACAAUGAAUAUUAAUAUUUCUCAGGUAUGAAAUGCAGGAAGUGUAAGAGACUUUCUAUUUACUAUACACACGCUUAGUACAGAUGAGAGCUUUUUUUUCAGAUUUUCGAAGUUAUUUCCCCCUUUCCCCAAGCUGACAUUCAGUACCUCCUGUCCUACUACAUCACUAGAUGUAGUGAUAUAUGAUGCUACAACAAUUGAGCAAAAGUUCACACAGUUACUAGUUUCUUCUGAAAAUGAUAAAAAGAAGUAUGUGGCAGCUUAGUCAAAUGGACAGUUUGCUAAGGGUUUUCUACAGGAAACACACUAAAACACACUACACACUCCUACAAGGUUGAUACUGACUAAAUAUAUCAAAAACAUAUUUAAUCAAAUACCAGACUGGGAAUCUGAAUGAGGACUCUUUUGCUCAGUAUUUUCCACUACUUCAGCAUGGCUUUCUGUCAAUUUCUUCUCUUUUCUCACUUUAACAAAUUUGAUUUGAAAAUCUUGAAAAGACAAACAGCAGGAACAGACAUGCAAGCAAGACAGGACAGAAAUUCUUAGUAUCCAAUUUCCUUUAUGGUUUAAAUGACAAAAGCAAGUAGAAAGGAUAUUACCUAGGUCUCUAACCUGUCCAGUAUGGGAGAUGUGUCUUGAAUCAUAAUUUGCACAUUUGUUUAAAGCUGAAGAACAAAUAGUUUAAACGUGCGUAGAAUAACUAGUGGAAUUAUCUUAAAAUGUACUAUAUACUUCUCAGUGAAACAGGCUAUUAGUUUAACUCUGUACCUAUUUUCUGGCACUUCUGUAACAAGAUGCCUUGAGAAAAAAAAACCCACAACAAAGAAGUGUAGAGCACAUAUUUAAUCUUCUUCUCUUUGUCUUUCAAGAAAGCAUGAUAUAGAUAAUGAAGUAACUCAAAAUCAAAACCUCAAACUGUAAGCAACAUAUCAGCUUGGUGUAUUACAGAAGCUAAUUAUCCAGGCUUUGUUCAGAUAACAUUAUCUCUAUACAGUCACACUCAAAGACAUCAACUUAUACCUAUGGAGCAUGCAUUUGUAAUGAAUGCAGUGCCACACUGUGGGUGAAGGUAAGAUUUAUGCAUUUAUAUAAGUUUGAUUGAUGAUGAUAAACAACUUAAAAAAUACGAAUUCCAUUAGCUGACAGUCUAUUGAUUAUAUCCUGUCUGCAACCAACAUGAAAGUUGGACCAACAAGGAUCUCCACAAAAUUUUGAAGCAUGCUGACAUUACACUUUACAGAAAUUAAAUUCAGCUUAUUUUCAUGUUUGGUAGCAUCACAGCAGUGUUAUUAUUUUCUCCCACAAGAAAUUAUUUUGCUAUUUAGAUGUUUACACAUAGCUUUACACAGAAGUACAAGGCUAAAUCAUCAUCUUCUCAGUCAUCCAGUGCAGUAACUUACAUUGCACUACUGCUGUGCCAUCAUCCACUUUUAAGAGGUCUGAGCAACAGUGCACAACAUACACACACUGAGAAUAUUAGACAUGGCAAAACAGUAUUUGACAAAGUACUUGGAAGCACACAAGACAAACAGAGAGAUACACAGAGGAAAACAUGAGCAGUUCUGGAAGCCUAUCCAUAGUGAACUCCUUAGUUACCCAACUUGUCAUUUUAAAACACCACAAAUACAUCUACAUGAACUAAAGUUAUAGCCACAUAAAACUGCAGAGGAAAACUCAAUUUAUCCCAAAGGUGGCCAAGGUGGUCUCUGCAAAUGGCUCUCUUUUGACUCCAGGUAAAUUACCCUAUAACUAGACCCUACCUUGCAGAAAGGCAUUCAUCAUAGCACACACUUUGCAACUGCUACCAUUUGCACGUGUCCAGUGUGACAAAUAUAACCCUUUCCUCAUGGGACGACACAGCCAGGAGAUCCUCUUCAUGCUGUGCAGUUACCACCUUCUUGUCAAGACAGAGAGAGGAAAGGCCUCUAGUAGGAAUUAAAGGCUCCUCUGCUUGGCAAUAUUAAAGCAGUAGGUGGGGUAUGGCUUAUUGCAUGUGCUCCAUGAGCAUGGUAUUCUAUGCAGACUGGUGACAGAGCAGUAAAUGAAAGAAAGCUAGUAAUCUGCCUGGCAAAAAAUGGUGCUCAGGGAGGAAUUCUGUGGAUGGAUCUGGUACAUUUGGCAUACACUCCUAUAUUCUCAGUUUUGUUAUGUCCAACUGCCAAGAUGUUGGAUCUUGGAGUCGAAAUGCAUUACACACAGAUUACUUUCAACUCCCUCCAAAAAAACUUCAAAAAACAGUCCCUCAUCAACAGUAUGAAUAGGCCAGCCUCUUUUGCAUGUAAAUUGGUUCCCUACUGGCAAAACUGGGUAGGCUCACCUUCUGAAUGUUUUUCUGUUAAAUGAGAAGAUUUUCUUAAGAGAGACCUUGAAAAGUUUACCAGAUAUUUCAUACAUCAGUAAAUUGUAGGUCAAGUUUGUUUCAGUUCUAAUAACUUUACCUCUUGUUAACCUGCACAGCUGAUAAGAUAUUCUUAAUUUUAAAAAUGACAGUGGUGGAAAUCAUUUGGAUGGAAUAUCUCAGUAUAAUCACAUUGUUUCUUAUGAUUCAUUUCGCAUUUUACUUAAGCCACACAAGCAUUGUUCUCUAAAACUUCUCUAAAACCCUGCCCCUUUAGGAACCAAUUCCAGUGUGUUUUCUUCCAUAAGAAGUAUCAAAGUUGGGUUGCCUCAAGAUUCUCAGAAAAACCAUGCAAACAUGCUGAACUUCUAAAGUCACCAGGAAAUUUUCUUUGAUAGUAUGCAGUAAAAUGAGGCCAUGCUAACCUCUUAAUUCUCACAUUGCUCAGCAAGAUCACUCCAUCCUUAUAUUAUUUGAAAAGCUGUAAGGAAAUAAUCAUAUCUCACAACCACCUGAUAAGAACUUUGUCAUAUCCAUCUGAGUUUUACAUCAACAACGUAAAAGGCCAUAGACAGAUAAGAAGUCCAGCUACCACCUAUUAGGAUUAAGCCUAAACGGCACAACUGCUGACCAGAAUUUGACUCCUCACUAAGACAAUACUGACAGGAUACAGCUAGUCUUAAAAGCUGAGACUACCAGCAGUAUUUUAACUCUGUUAGAAAAAAACAUCAUUUUUGUAAUUUUCUGUUAAGGUCCACUUGCAAUUAAUAUGAGUCAUGAAAAUUAAGAAACCACCAGUUACUACAAGAAGAAGAGGCAAUCACCCUGAGGAAACUCAUUACUUAUAGGCUCUUCUACCCAGCAAGAAGACAGUGUAUAAAUUAUAAAAAUAGAGGUGGAAAACUUGCAAACAAUCAUGUAUUUUCUUCCAGAACUAUGUGAUCAUGUCAAUACUGAACCAGCAGUCAUGUCAUCACAGCCCAUUUCGCCUAGAGCCACAGUUUUUGGCAAGGGAAAUGUUGAGAAUGCUGGAGACAUACAUCAUGGAUUCAGCUGGUGUUGAAAAGUUUUUCUGUGCUUUUCCAAACUACUACAAAUGCUGCUGUUAGCAUAUGUUUAUAUAAACUGGUCUUUUUCCACUACAGUUUUGAAAACAGAAAGCUAUAAAAAGUCAGUAUAAAGAACAGGUUGGCUACAAAACACAUAUACUAGUAUUUCUGCAGUUUGUAAAUUGUAUUUUCUAAUUAUUUUACUAUUUAUAAUGUAUUUUUACAAGUUUUAUUAACUCAAAAGCUACAGAAAAGAAAAAGCAGACAGCUUGCAUAUAGCUUGAAUAUGAACCACUGAAAAAUACAAUUCUAUUUGACCUUUAUGCUUUACAAAUUUGCUCUGUCACGUUCUAAAACACUUGAGUGGCAUCAGCUUAAUCUGAAACCAGGCUGAACACACAGUAUGAGAAAGAACUAGCCUGACCUCCUGUGGCCGAAACAUUGCAAAACUGUAAAUUUACCACCAU